GAAGUAGCUAAACUGAAGCCUCUCAAAGAUUUGACUUCUCUGUUCCUGGGAGACAAUCCUGUUGCCAACCUGCCCCAUUACCGUCUCUACACCAUUUUCCAUUUGCGGUCACUGGAGGAUCUUGACGGGCAACAAGUGACCAAUCGGGACAGAGAGGAGGCUCACGAGAGGUUUAAUUUAGAAGAGGUCGAAAAUCUAGAAAAGGACCUGGAGAGGACAGCGAAAGAGGCAGAGGACUUAAGAAACAAGCAGUCUCGUCUCCUUGAACAGCUUCAGCAACAAGAAGACCAGAACAAAUCACUGAAGCAAAAAAUCCAGCAACAGAAGCAGAAUUGUAAAGAGCUAGAGAGUUCGCUGGAGACAAAAAAUGAACUGCUGAAGCAGAAGACAGUAGAAUUAACCAGAGCCUGCCAGAAACAGUAUGAAUUGGAACAAGAGCUGGCUUUCUAUAAAAUCGACGCCAAGUUUGAACCGUUGGGUUAUUAUUACCCAGCAGAGGUAACUGUUUGAAAAUGCC